UGCAGAAAGUCACAUAUUCUUCUAAGUCAAGCCCAAGGAGCCCUCCUGGGAAUUGAAGUUAUUCUGACUCCUUGUAUAAACCUACAUGACAGCUGUGAAUGGUACAACUGCAUCUGUUCUCAGAACCCCCGAGUCCUAGCAGGCAGGGGCCGGGCAGGUACUUAUUCCCCCUCCCACGAAGCCCACAUCUGAGUCCCCUGACUCUGGGGUAACAGCAAAGUCUGCCUUGCCAGGAGAGGAGGGAGGCCUUUAAAAGCCAGGCUACCACAGGGGUUCAAACAUCUCAGCUGACCAUGUUCCUGGGGCCGGCAGCUAAGAAGAAGGCCUAGGUGGGCAGACUCUCAGCACGAGGAGAAGUCAGGCCAGAUGAGAUCGAGGACUUGGGGAAGUGUGACUGCAAAGGAGGAAGGCUGUUUUGUUUAAUCAACACACCAGGAUCAUAUAAACAAGUGCUGUUCCCUUCAAAGGGGGAAGCUUGGGAAGUGGGUCAUGUGGUGCUGGGAGUCUCUCCCUCCUCCUCAGAGCAGCUCCAAAUGCCAGUGAAGACCUUCUCCAGAGCCUAGGACACAGGUCUCUUGUGAGCCUCAAGGAUGAGAGCAUUUAGCGCUCUCUCUCUCUCUUUCUCUCUGAAGACAGAUUUGAUUUUCUUACAAAUACCCAAGAAUUUCUUUUUUAGGAAAAGACUGGUGAAUAAGGUCAGUGAUCAACCUGGAUCACCCCAUUUUUCACCAGAAGCAAAGCAACAUGAAAAGCAGAAACUAACUCUGACAGCAAUUCUAAAGGCAAGUGUUCCUGCAUCGAUGGGACAAGGGUGCAGCCUCAGAAUAACUGCUCUGAAGAGCGCACCGUGAUUUGCUGUUGUAGGUUCUGAUGUUUUCAUUAAGCCAUCCCAGUCUCUCCUAAAGAGGGUAUCUUUCCCUCUCCCCUGUCUCUGUCUCCCCCUCUCUGUCUGGCCCUCUGUCCCCAUCUGCCCUCCCCUCAUCCCUCCCGACAGCGUUCUGCCCCCAGGUUGGAAAGAGAGACCAUCAGGCCCUAUUAAGAAAGCAGUCAAGGCAAUAUGGCAACUGCAGGGCCCCCGGUGGAGAUGCAGUGAUGCUUCACUAAAUGACCCGUCAUUCACCACCACCUGGUGCCAGGAGCCAUGGGGGAUGAAGACAGGGACAGGCUGAGUCCCUGCCCACAGCAAAGUCACACUCUUGUGGGAACUAAGAAAAGAGCCUAAGACCAAAAACAAGCCAGUGUGUGGCUCGGGCGAAGGGCUGCUUCCACCAGGGGCAAGUCCACGAAGUGAAGGCACCACUCCAGCACUCAAGCCACUGGGAGCUGAGGCCACAUGUCAAGGACUCCAGUCUCGAUGGCCACACAGCCCCAGGUGCCACAAAUCUCAAGGAGCUCUGGGUACAGUCAGGACACCACCUGGCAGCUGGCCUUUGGGAAUCAUGAAGGGGGGGGGGGGCAGCUCCAGCUCUGGAUCCAACAGGCACUUUCAGUCCUUCCUACCUCCUCCUCUGACUCUCCCCAAACCCUGAGCACAAUCCCAGGGGCUCCAGCAGUGGGUGCUGGCCCUUCCUCUAGGUGUGGUCCUGGCCUCGUGGGGAGACGGCAGUGGACUGGGGCUCAGCCUUCAUCACUUUCCAAGGGGAUCAGAGGGAAGGUGAAGCUUUCCUCUCCCGAGAAGCCCCACUCUCCCAGACAAUAGUAAGGAUAAUGCCUCUGUGGGCACACUGCUUUCGGGAUUAUAAAUCACUGGCACACAUAUCCCACCUGACUUUUCCCUUCUGACUUUGAGACCAGUGAGGAAAGGGGAGUCACCAGGAGUGAAGUGACAGGACAGGCACACAGAGGCACGACACCGGAAUCCAAGUUCAGCAUGGCCCCACGACGUGCCUCGUGUGCAUGGCGGGACAGGCACAAGCUGCGGAGACAGUGGACAGAGUGACCAAGUGGGCCCGCUGACCAUCUUUCGGGUUUAUGACCUCAGCCAAGAGCUGUCCAGUUAACUCUGGGCUCCACUUGCUUCAUGUGCAAAACAGGAGUGCUAGUCACUGCUGAGUGAAUUGUUUGAAGAAAAUAAGUAUAAAACCUUAGGUUGGCACCUGAAAUCAAAGGGUUGGAGCUUUGAGACAGGGGCCGAGGUACUUUGUCUGAAAGAUCUCAUUGUCCACGAACACCAACCCAGAACCCCCAACUGUGCCAGUCUGCUGCUUUCAGUCACUGAUGACCACCAACACAGAGCUCCUUGCAGCCUGUGAGCCAGAGUGCUGAGCUCAGCACGGGGGCGGGAGCAGCAGCAGCCUCUUCUCCGCAGCACUCACCAGCCCCGCAGGCCUCCCACUAAGGGAAGGGAAGGGGCAUGCUCCCCUUUCACCUCCCUAUGGUCAAGAAAUGCUGCACUCACGUGAGAACAGAGGGGCUUAACAGGCAUGGCCCAGGGUGAUUUGCAGCACCACAGAGCAAAGGGCUGGGGAUGGAGGUUCCCCCAACGCUCAGACACUUCGGACCCUGGUCAGGUCACUGGGAGGUCAGUCUCUCCCUGCAACCAUUCCUGACUGAUUAAAUAAUGCCUUUGGUGAACUGGGGCUCGCUCACACGUCAUUUCAUUGACUCCUCAAAGAGCCCAGACUAAAGGUGCAACAAGCAGGACUAUGCCCAUUUUACAGAUGAGAAAAAUAAGGCCAAGGGAACCAACUCAAUUUGUUCAGUCCCAAAGCUAGUGGGCAGCAAACCUGGGGCCCAGAUCCAAAUCUAUUUCCCCCAGAGUCUCUGCUCUUGCUAGGAUAACACAGACGGAAAAGGGAGGGAGUCAAGUCAGAGCAAGCCCUAAAAGCCAAGCUUGACGUGUAGAAAAGUGAACUGUUCAGCACUUACUAUGUAUGAGGGCUGCCUUACAAAAUCCCUUCUCGUCUCAAUCGUGUAGGGCAGUACAAUCACUGUCACUCCCAUCUUACAGGUGGAGAAAUUGAGGUCAUGUGGCCAAGGAGAACAAACUGUCCCAGGUCCUAGGGAGCCCCAGUUCUGGCAAGUCACACCCCAUCUGUGAGCCUCUGUCUCCCAGCCAAACUACCUGUAAGGAGGCCCCUGUGAGGCUCAGGGAUGUCGUGUGACAGGAAGGAGCCAAGACAUCCAUGUGUUACCUCUGCCACGUCCUGACUGUUUGGUCAUGGGGGAGUCACAUAAUGGCCCAGGACCAGUGGCUUGCUCUGUCACCUGUGAACAGUUCUCACAAGGUCACGGUGAGAUGGCAUCAGACACUGUGAGGGAAGCACACAGGCACUAGCAAUGUCUACCACUAUCUUGAUUUUAGGAAUUGGCCUAUCUUCCCUUCUGAGAGCACAGCAAUUAGGCAGAACGCCCCUGACAUCUGUUUUGCUCCUUAGUGCUCAUUUUCUGUCCUCUUCUGAGCGACAUUUACAUCAAGAGAUGGCCAGGGGUCUCCUACCUGAGCUGAGCAGAAACAAGAGCCAGCUGGUCUUAAUGCCCAAAUUUAAACUCCUCCAACUCCCACUUUUAUUGGGUGGUUCACAAGGCACUUCAGGGGAUCCACACAGGGCUGCCCUGACUCUCCAGCCACAAGCCCACCCCACCUGGCAAAGCCUCUUGGCAGGAGGAAUGGAUCUGUGCCAGUCCCCAAAGCUGGCUUCCAAGCCUCACCCAAAAAUCAGGACCUCGAAGCCUCCCAGAGACCUACCUGGAGGCCCUGCCGCUGCUCCGCCCGGCGUUUACACGGCAGCAGCCUGUGAGCCCGCUUCUCUGCAUGGGCUGGUGGAGAAGUGUGGGCUCUGAAGUCAGAAAGCCCAGUAAGAAUCCAGGCCCUGCCAAUUACUAGGCCUUGUGGAAGCAACGUGACCACGCCAAGCCUAUCUUCCUCACCUGUAAAAUGAGGAUUUCAGCAGUCUCUUCCUCAUGACUUUAUGGUAGGGAUUAGGGAGAACUAAGGAGAUUAUUACAUACAAAGCCCACCUAGCUCAGCAGAUGUCAGCCAUGAGCUAGUAACAAAGGCAAUUAGCUCUCUACCUCUAGUUAUGGUCAGAAACACAGGGCAUGCCAGCCACACCAGAACCAAAUGACCAGGAAAGACCCACUGCAUUUGUCAACAGCUGAUUCCCUCCUGCUCUCCCACACCUGUCACUGCUCUGGGCCCCGACUCUUCCCAUAAGACAAUGAGGCUCCCUAAGGCCCAAUGAUUCCUGCAUGUUAAUAGGCAUGCAGAAAGUAAGAGAAUAAUUUAUGAGGCAAAACAGGGGAGGGAGGAGUGAUCAAAACUAUCUUUUGGAAGAUAAAGAAAUGGAGGAGACAAUUAAACGUCAACUGAAUGACCAGCCUGCUUUGAAGAGAUCCUCUUUUGCCGUGGGGUUUUCCAGAUGUCACAAGUGCCCCUGGCAUUGUCAGACCUUGCCAGUCAGAAGGGAAGUGCCUGAAUUCAACCUGGAUUCACGCUGUAACUGGAGAGGAUGGGAAGGCAACAGACCCAGAGGCAGAAGCCCUGGCCGAAGUCCCCGCUUGGCUCCUCUCUCACUGUGUGACCCUGGGCAAGUCAACGGCUGGGUCUGAAGAAGGAACACAUCCGUGUGAAGGGCUCUGGGGUCCUUCCCAAUCCCAUGCUCACCGGCUCUGUGACUCACAUUCCGUUCUGUUCAGGGGAAUCAGGAUCAGCAUCUAAUGUACUAUUCACCCCCACCCCUGGCUUUAAUGAUUAUCAAUCAGCUUAUUCAGCUGGCCAAGCUAAAACAAUGCCAAAGCUUUCUCUGCCCGAACCCUACUAGCUCCAACCCCACAGGGCUUUCUAGAAAAGGAUUUCUUAAACAAAUCUGUUUUACCAAAUUCUUGCUGGGUGUCACCAUUUCCCCACAUUCUAAUUUAGACCUUUCAGUAUUUUCAUUUCAUUCCCACCAGAUAAAAAUGCUGAAAAGAGCUUUAGAUAGAUUCACCAUUAACUGAUAUUUCAAUAAAUCAGAAUUUGUGAAGGCCCAAAGAGAAGCACACGUUUGUUUCAUCUUAAAAAAAAAAAAAAAAAAAAAGACUGCCAUUCCCGCAGUGAUACAGUGGGUUAAGAAUCUCAGGUUGUUGCAGAGAUGCAGGUUCAAUCCCUGGCCCAGCACAGCAGGUUAAAGGAUCCAGCCCUGCCCCAGCUGUGGCAGAGGUCACAGCUGUGACUCAGAUUCAGUCCCUGGCCUGGGAACUUCCAUAGGCGGAGGGUGUGGCCAUAAAAUGGGGGGAACUAACGGACUAAUUACUGGUACAUAAAGGCGGCAUUUUAACCAUUUACCCGUUCAUGCUGUUUUUGUACAACUUAAAAGUGGUUAUUUAAAAUAAACAGUGUUUCAUUAUAUCCCAUUGUUAUCUAUUUACUGAGGAACAACAUUCAAGGAUGUCUUGCUUUAAAAAUACUGAUCACUUCUUUAGUUCACAUUAGAGUAAAAUAAUAAAACCACAUCUAUUUCAAAAUGAGGGUUUGGGAAGGUUUCCUUGCAAUAAUUCAUACCCUCCUUUUGUACUCUGACAAGCCAAGUUAAGAGAGUAAGCCAGCGUGUUUAAUGGACUCGAUCUUACACAUAAUCAAUGCUCCAAAAAGCACUUUAUGUAGGUUAAAUAAUAACUGUUUUAAAUACUCUUUUUUUCAUCUUCCCAGCUUUAGUGCUACAGUAAUUUAUAUAAUCAAAAGUAAAACUGCUGUAGAAUACUGAAGUGUCUCCAUUAUGCCACAGUUCAACGCCGUGCCCUAACCCUUCAGGAACUCUGGAUCCAGAGACCAUCUGCUUGCAGGGCAUUAUAUUUCUUGUUAACAAAAGCACAGCGGAGUUCCCUGUUGUGGCGCAGUGGUUAACGAAUCCGACUAGGAACCAUGAGGUUGCAGGUUCAAUCCCUGGCCUUGCUCAGUGGGUUAAGGAUCUGGCAUUGCCGUGAGCUGUGGUGUAGGUUGCAGAUGCAGCUCGGAUCCCACGUUGCUGUGGCUGUGGUGUAGACCAGCAGCUACAGCUCCAAUUAGACCCCUAGCCUGGGAACCUCCUUAUGCUGUGGGGGUGGUCCUAGAAAAGGCAAAAAGACCAAAAAAAAAAAAAAAAAAAGCACAGCGAAGACCCAGCUCAGCAUCCCCCAAUAGUGCCUUGUACAAGGGCCCAUGCUGUAGAUUUCUGCUUAGAUUUGCUUCCUAGAAAGUGCCUCUUUCAAUGAAUGAGGCUGCUCCCCACCGUUGAGAGGAUAAAAACCCAGUACGUUAGAAGUGCUCCCUUUUGCCACCACUGCUGGAAAGCCUACCUGCCAAUUCAGUGUGCAGGUGUCAGCAAUCCGCUCGCCUUGGGCACCUGGGCAAGUCUACUUUUUGUUUUGAUUCGCAAACGCCCCAUCCUUCACCAACUCCCAUUUUCUAAGCCACCUCAGAGCUCUUGGAAGUAGGAGGGGGUACAAACUGUAUAAUAACACCACAAUGAUAGUGAGGUUCUACUGUGUGUGAAAAUAAAAUAAUCAUCAAAGACCAUGGGACAGCAGAAACACACCAGGUGAGAGAUUUUUCUUCCACAACUAAAAGGAACUUAAAGGCAGUAUUCGUCUUGGAACUCAACUGUAGCAAGCGAACACUUCAAUACCAAGACUCGGGGUUUUUUUGUUUGUUUGUUUGGGGGCUUCUUGGGGUUUGUGUGUGUGUCUUUUUGUCCUUUUAGGGCUGCACCCAUGGUAUAUGGAGGUUCCCAGGCUAGGGGUCUAAUUGGAGCUGUAGCUGCCAGCCUACCCCACAGCUCUCAGCAACACCGGAUCCUUAACCCACUGCUUGAGGCCAGGGAUUGAAUCCACAACCUCAUGGUUCCUAGUCAGAAUCAUUUCUGCUGCACCACAAUGGCAACUCCAAGACUCAAGUUUUGCAUUAGGGAUUUAUUUACCUAUGAACUACCUGGAAUGAAGGCUUCCCUUGAAAGAAACCGGGUCCACAAAUGCGUGGCACCCAAAGCAAGGGAAAGAAGCUUGGGUGCCUUUUAACUGGGUCUGUGGUUCAAAAGAGAUGACAAGACUGGUUCUCAGGGUUCCAAGACUUUCUGCUGUCAUCAGAUGUUCUGGGUGCCUAUCAGACAUCCAAGAAAGAGGCAGUACCCUCCCCCCAGGACUUCCUUUCCCACGGCCAAAGAUAAAGAACAAAUGAGGUCACUCAUCAGAGUUAAAGGACAGCUGAUCUCAAGGAGCUGUGGGGGUGGGAGCGUAAAUCGAUACAGGCUUAGCAGAAGCCAAUGUGGCAGUAAGCAUGCAAAUUAAAAUGUGCUCCCCCCCACAACCAGAGACUUAACUUCUAAGUACUUAUUUCAGAGAAAUGUUUACUUGUACCCACAAAGAGCACUUACAAGGAUAUUCAAUGCAGCAUUGUCUGACAUAGCAGAACUUUAGGUACUAACCUAACUGCUCAUCAGAGAGAGAACAAUAAACCACGGCACAUUCAUAUGUGAAAUAUUUUAAGGCAAGUAAGAAGUUGUUAGAUCUCUACAUACAAAUAUGGGAAGAUCUGUAAGACACAUUAAAUGGAAAAAAAAAAGGAAAUUUUACAAUGCAUGCAUUCUGUUUCCACUUGUGUCAAAUUUACGAUACCCAAAUUCAUAUAAAUACAUCUUUCAAACACAGAUUAUAUACGCAUACAUAUCCAUACACAGUGACAAACAACUGUGAAACUGACUUCUGUGCUGAGAAGAAGCUGGGAAGGUAAAACGAGACUGUCACUUUAUCUGUACUGUUUUAAUAGUUUAGAAAAACGUAUUCAGGUAUUAUUUGUAUAAAUUCGAAUGAUGAUUGAUUGAAAGAAUGCAAAAUAUGAAAAACGAAGAAGGCCUUUCUCUGACCCCAUGUGGCGGUUCUUCCUUAAUGAAAGGGCCACUGGGCACAGAGAGCCUGCCACAGCACCAGCCAGAAGUCAGGACACGUGAGUCUGGUAUGCUCUGCAAAGCAGGUCUCAAUAAAUAUUUGUUAAAUAAUGGUGCCUCAACUUCCUGUCUUAUAAACAAGGGUCCUUACAGCGCUACAAAAAUAUCUAUGAGGACACUGCUCUAGACUGCCCCAUGGAUGCAGGGAAAGGAGGUAGGGGGGGGGCCCUCGGAAGAUGACCACUGCAGGAAAAGCACGAGCUUUGCACCCAGCCUGCUUUGAAUCCUGGGGCCAAGCUGAUGGAGGACAAUUCCUCCUUCAUUCCCAGGCAGGGCCCACCUGCCAGCCUGCCUUCCCUAAGCAGUCUGCAGCCUGCCUUCCCCCCUUAAGGGUGGCCCCCCCAGUUCCCUCCAGCCUGACCCUCAGGUUCCCUCAUUCAGUAACUUCUGCAGGUGAUUUCUAAAAUUACCACUCAGCCAAGAGGGAGGAGGAAAAGAAACUAGCAGAAAUAACUAUUUUGAGGUUCUAGAGUAGAAAGUCAUUUUCCCCAGCCUGGGCUGUGUCUGGGGCUGUGCUUAAUUAAAACCACCAGAGGAAGGCUUCAUGCUACAAAAUGCGGGCCAGAAAUACCCAUCCGUGGAGUUCCUUUGUGGCUCAGCAGGUGAUGACCCAAAGUUGUCUCUGUAAGGACACAGGUUCGAUCCCUGGCUCACUCGGUGGGUUAAGGAUACGGUGUUGCUGUGGCUGUGGACAGCAGCUGCAGCUCCGAUUCUACCCCUAGCCAGGGAACUUCCAUGUGCUGCAGGUGCAGCCUUAAAAAAACAAAAAAUGAAAAAAAAAAAAAGCAAAAAACA
ensembl:lncRNA